AGUGAACGCUGGCGGUAGGCCUAACACAUGCAAGUCGAACGGCAGCACAGUAAGAGCUUGCUCUUACGGGUGGCGAGUGGCGGACGGGUGAGGAAUACAUCGGAAUCUACUUUUUCGUGGGGGAUAACGUAGGGAAACUUACGCUAAUACCGCAUACGACCUACGGGUGAAAGCAGGGGAUCUUCGGACCUUGCGCGAUUGAAUGAGCCGAUGUCGGAUUAGCUAGUUGGCGGGGUAAAGGCCCACCAAGGCGACGAUCCGUAGCUGGUCUGAGAGGAUGAUCAGCCACACUGGAACUGAGACACGGUCCAGACUCCUACGGGAGGCAGCAGUGGGGAAUAUUGGACAAUGGGCGCAAGCCUGAUCCAGCCAUACUGCGUGGGUGAAGAAGGCCUUCGGGUUGUAAAGCCCUUUUGUUGGGAAAGAAAAGCAGCAGGGUAAUACCCCGCUGUUCUGACGGUACCCAAAGAAUAAGCACCGGCUAACUUCGUG
rnacentral:rRNA from 1 species